rnacentral:misc_RNA from 1 species
AAGUCGUAACAAGGUUUCCGUAGGUGAACCUGCGGAAGGAUCAUUACAAAUCCAAGUCAAGUCUAUUGACAAGUUGAAAUGUGUGUGUGUGUGUGAGAGAGAGAAUAUAUUUCCACACAAAAACUUCAUACAUCAGUUGAACAACAAAUAACAAAUAUUCUUUUACACAACUUGUAACAAUGGAUCUCUAGGCUCUU